rnacentral:rRNA from 1 species
GAAAGGAGAGCUAAUACCGGAUACCCCACUUGAUCGCAUGAUCGGGUGAGGAAAUGGAUUCCGCUUCGGGAGGGCCUCGCGGCCUAUCAGCUUGUUGGUGGGGUAACGGCCCACCAAGGCAUCGACGGGUAGCUGGUCUGAGAGGACGAUCAGCCACACUGGGACUGAGACACGGCCCAGACUCCUACGGGAGGCAGCAGUGGGGAAUCUUGCGCAAUGGGCGAAAGCCUGACGCAGCAACGCCGCGUGGGGAUGAAGGCUCUCGGGUUGUAAACCCCUUUCAGCAGGGACGAAUCAAGACGGUACCUGCAGAAGAAGCCCCGGCUAACUACGUG